rnacentral:lncRNA from 1 species
UGCAGGGCUGGAGUGGGGGAGGGGAGGAUGGAGAAAGCGGGGAGGGGUAGGCCACAUCUUUCAUGCAGGGUGUUGGAGGCUGGGCGGGCUGUGAGGUGGCUUUGAGGAUGAGAGAGUGGGUGUCCCUGCCAGGUGUGGCACCCAGAAAGGCCUUGACAAGCCUGUGGAGGGAAUGAAAUAGGCUCCUGGGCCUUCGGGAUGAGGUAAAGUGCAGUCGGUGAAGGGCACAGGGAGGCCUGCCCGGGCCCAGGAGACCUCGUAGGCGAGGAGCCUGUGACCCAGGGCCUGGAGCCACGGGGAGCAGUUCAUCGGGCAGGAAUGAGGGGAGGGCUCACCAGGAGGGGCGCUGGAGGAGCCAGGGCCGGGAGCCAAGAGAGGGAGAGUUCUUUGGGUAGCCCUGACUGCAGGGGAGAGGGCACCAACCCUUGUGGGGAGAGAGGCAAGGCUGGAGAGGGAGGGGUCUUCAGGGUGGGAUUGGUGAGGGACUGGGGACAGGCAGGAGACAGGACCUCUGCGGGGGUGUUUGCUUUUUAUUUGAUUUCCCAAGUAAUGCAUGAUUGUGAUGGGAGGAUCAGAGACUGCAGAGUAUAAAUAAAAGAAGGAAAUAAAGAGCACUACUCAGAAAUAAACCCAUUAACACUUGCUGUGUGGCCUUGGGCAAGUUACUUCACCUCUCUGUGCCUCCAUUUUCUUGUUUAUUAAGUGGAAUAAUUAAUAGUACCUGCCUCAUAAGGUUGUUGUGAAGCUUAAGUGAGAUAACACAACAAAUUUAAAGCAGUGCCACACACAGUAGGUAUUAGCUGUCAUCAUUAUUCAUAUCAUCAUUACCAUUUUGGUGGGUUAGGAGCUUAGAUGCUAGAAUUGGAAUGCUGGUGUUCUGAAUUCAACAUUUUCUUUUUUUUUUUUCCCCCUUGAGACGAAGUCUUGCUCUGUCAUCCAGGCUGGAGUGCAGUUGCGUGAUCUCA